rnacentral:lncRNA from 1 species
AUCAUCGGAAGAAGGAUAACAAAUUUGGGAUUGGCAUCAACGUUGGAGAGUAAGAUAAUGAGAUGAAUUGUUGAGAGAGGCAUGUACCUAUUAUAGCAGUUGGCAUUUGUUGACAAGGAUUGAGCCAAUUUGUGUUCUGUUAUCAUUUUGUUUUCUCACUCCACUGGGUUGAUUACUUAGGAAAUGCCCUCGUCAUCAUUAGAUUAAGUUUGCC